AAGCGCUUGCAGCCAGACUUGCCUGUAGUUGCUCACCCGGACUCUUGUCCGGUGCACUCUUCUAUAGGCAGGCCAGCAUCAGUUUGGGCGGUUGGAUAAAGGUCUCUGUCAUGUACCUCCUUUCGGGGAGGCCUUAUAGGGGAGACGACAUGCAACCAGCCUGGACUGAGGUCCGCGCAUUUAUGCUAGGAUGCUGGCGUAAUGGCUGUAAGCGG
rnacentral:rRNA from 1 species